UACGUAGGGUGCGAGCGUUAAUCGGAAUUACUGGGCGUAAAGCGUGCGCAGGCGGUUUUGUAAGUCAGAUGUGAAAUCCCCGGGCUUAACCUGGGAACUGCAUUUGGGACUGCAAGGCUUGAGUACGGCAGAGGGUGGUAGAAUUCCUGGUGUAGCAGUGAAAUGCGUAGAUAUCAGGAGGAAUACCGAUGGCGAAGGCAGGUCUCUGGGCUGACACUGACGCUCAUGCACGAAAGCGUGGGGAGCAAACAGG
rnacentral:rRNA from 1 species